rfam:Brachypodium distachyon strain Bd21 chromosome 3, whole genome shotgun sequence.
AAUAUACUCCCUCCGGCCGAAAUUACUUGUCGAAAUAUUGCAUGUAUCUAGACGUGUUUUACACAUAUAUACAUCCGUAUUUUGACAAGUUUGAGACAAGUAAUACCGGUCGGAGGGAGUACAUC